rnacentral:misc_RNA from 1 species
UUUCCGUAGGUGAACCUGCGGAAGGAUCAUUAACGAGUUAGGGUCUUCCAAGGCCCGACCUCCCAACCCUAUGUUUAUUGUACCAUGUGUUGCUUCGGCGGGACCGUCUUCACGACCGCCGGAGGGCCGUAAAACGUCCUCUGGCCCGCGCCCGCCGAUGGCCCCCCAUCUAAAAACUCUUGAAUAAUCAUGCCUAUAUUGUCUGAGUAAUACACAAAAAUUAAAAGCAAAACUUUCAACAACGGAUCUCUUGGUUCUGGCAUCGAUGAAGAACGCAGC